rnacentral:rRNA from 1 species
CUCCGGUUGAUCCUGCCGGACCCGACUGCUAUCAGAGUGGGACUAAGCCAUGCGAGUCAACGUAGCAAUACGUGGCAUACGGCUCAGUAACACGUAGUCAACAUGCCCAGGGGACGAGGAUAACCUCGGGAAACUGAGGAUAAACCUCGAUAGGCCAUGAUUUCUGGAAUGAUUCUUGGCUCAAACCUAUAUGGCCCCUGGAUUGGACUGCGGCCGAUCAGGCUGUUGGUGAGGUAAUGGCCCACCAAACCUAUUACCGGUACGGGCUCUGAGAGGAGGAGCCCGGAGAUGGGCACUGAGACAAGGGCCCAGGCCCUAUGGGGCGCAGCAGGCGCGAAACCUCUGCAAUAGGCGAAAGCUUGACAGGGUUACUCUGAGUGAUUUCCGCUAAGGGAAUCUUUUGGCACCUCUAAAAAUGGUGCAGAAUAAGGGGUGGGCAAGUCUGGUGUCAGCCGCCGCGGUAAUACCAGCACCCCGAGUGGUCGGGACGAUUAUUGGGCCUAAAGCAUCCGUAGCCGGUCCUGCAAGUCUUCCGUUAAAUCCAGCUGCUCAACAGAUGGGCUGCGGGAGAUACUACAGGGCUAGGAGGCGGGAGAGGCAAGCGGUACUUUAUGGGUAGGGGUAAAAUCCGCUGAUCCAUAGAAGACCACCAGUGGCGAAGGCGGCUUGCCAGAACGCGCUCGACGGUGAGGGAUGAAAGCUGGGGGAGCAAACCGGAUUAGAUACCCGGGUAGUCCCAGCUGUAAACGAUGCAGACUCGGUGAUGAGUUGGCUUAUUGCUAACUCAGUGCCGCAGGGAAGCCGUUAAGUUUGCCGCCUGGGGAGUACGGUCGCAAGACUGAAACUUAAAGGAAUUGGCGGGGGAGCA